AGAGUUUGAUCUUUGCUCAGGAUGAACGCCGGCGGUGUGCCUAAUACAUGCAAGUCGUACGCACUGGCCCAACUGAUUGAUGGUGCUUGCACCUGAUUGACGAUGGAUCACCAGUGAGUGGCGGACGGGUGAGUAACACGUAGGUAACCUGCCUCGGAGCGGGGGAUAACAUUUGGAAACAGAUGCUAAUACCGCAUAACAACAAAAGCCACAUGGCUUUUGUUUGAAAGAUGGCUUUGGCUAUCACUCUGGGAUGGACCUGCGGUGCAUUAGCUAGUUGGUAAGGUAACGGCUUACCAAGGCAAUGAUGCAUAGCCGAGUUGAGAGACUGAUCGGCCACAAUGGAACUGAGACACGGUCCAUACUCCUACGGGAGGCAGCAGUAGGGAAUCUUCCACAAUGGGCGCAAGCCUGAUGGAGCAACACCGCGUGAGUGAAGAAGGGUUUCGGCUCGUAAAGCUCUGUUGUUGGAGAAGAACGUGCGUGAGAGUAACUGUUCACGCAGUGACGGUAUCCAACCAGAAAGUCACGGCUAACUACGUGCCAGCAGCCGCGGUAAUACGUAGGUGGCAAGCGUUAUCCGGAUUUAUUGGGCGUAAAGCGAGCGCAGGCGGUUGCUUAGGUCUGAUGUGAAAGCCUUCGGCUUAACCGAAGAAGUGCAUCGGAAACCGGGCGACUUGAGUGCAGAAGAGGACAGUGGAACUCCAUGUGUAGCGGUGGAAUGCGUAGAUAUAUGGAAGAACACCAGUGGCGAAGGCGGCUGUCUGGUCUGCAACUGACGCUGAGGCUCGAAAGCAUGGGUAGCGAACAGGAUUAGAUACCCUGGUAGUCCAUGCCGUAAACGAUGAGUGCUAGGUGUUGGAGGGUUUCCGCCCUUCAGUGCCGGAGCUAACGCAUUAAGCACUCCGCCUGGGGAGUACGACCGCAAGGUUGAAACUCAAAGGAAUUGACGGGGGCCCGCACGAGCGGUGGAGCAUGUGGUUUAAUUCGAAGCUACGCGAAGAACCUUACCAGGUCUUGACAUCUUGCGCUAACCUUAGAGAUAAGGCGUUCCCUUCGGGGACGCAAUGACAGGUGGUGCAUGGUCGUCGUCAGCUCGUGUCGUGAGAUGUUGGGUUAAGUCCCGCAACGAGCGCAACCCUUGUUACUAGUUGCCAGCAUUAAGUUGGGCACUCUAGUGAGACUGCCGGUGACAAACCGGAGGAAGGUGGGGACGACGUCAGAUCAUCAUGCCCCUUAUGACCUGGGCUACACACGUGCUACAAUGGACGGUACAACGAGUCGCAAGCUCGCGAGAGUAAGCUAAUCUCUUAAAGCCGUUCUCAGUUCGGACUGUAGGCUGCAACUCGCCUACACGAAGUCGGAAUCGCUAGUAAUCGCGGAUCAGCAUGCCGCGGUGAAUACGUUCCCGGGCCUUGCACUCACCGCCCGUCA
rnacentral:rRNA from 1 species